GCAUUGCUGUAGAGUCUCAUACUAGGACGAAACGGCCGUUCAAUGC
rnacentral:hammerhead_ribozyme from 1 species